AAUUCGAUUAGUUUGAUCAUGGCUCAGAACGAACGCUGGCGGCGUGGAUAAGACAUGCAAGUCGAACGGGAUUAUUUCUGUAGCAAUACAGGAAUAAUUUAGUGGCGAACGGGUGCGUAACACGUGGGCAAUCUGCCGAGAAGUGGGGGAUAGCUCGCUGAAAGGCGAAUUAAUACCGCAUGUGAUGAGAGACGACAUCGUCUUGAAUUCAAAGCCGGGGCAACCUGGCGCUUUUUGAGGAGCCCGCGGCCUAUCAGCUAGUUGGUGAGGUAACGGCUCACCAAGGCUUUGACGGGUAGCUGGUCUGAGAGGACGACCAGUCACACUGGAACUGAGACACGGUCCAGACACCUACGGGUGGCAGCAGUCGAGAAUUUUUCUCAAUGGGGGAAACCCUGAAGGAGCGACGCCGCGUGGAGGAUGAAGGCUUUCGGGUUGUAAACUCCUGUCAUUUGAGAACAAGUGUGGGCAAGUAACUACUGCCUACUUGAUAGUAUCAGAAGAGGAAGAGACGGCUAACUCUGUGCCAGCAGCCGCGGUAAUACAGAGGUCUCAAGCGUUGUUCGGAUUCAUUGGGCGUAAAGGGUGCGUAGGUGGCGCUGUAAGUCGGGUGUGAAAUUUCGGA
rnacentral:rRNA from 1 species